AACGAACGCUGGCGGCAUGCCUAACACAUGCAAGUCGAACGAGACCUUCGGGUCUAGUGGCGCACGGGUGCGUAACGCGUGGGAAUCUGCCCUUGGGUACGGAAUAACAGCGAGAAAUUGCUGCUAAUACCGUAUAAUGACGUAAGUCCAAAGAUUUAUCGCCCAGGGAUGAGCCCGCGUAGGAUUAGCUUGUUGGUGAGGUGAAAGCUCACCAAGGCGACGAUCCUUAGCUGGUCUGAGAGGAUGAUCAGCCACACUGGGACUGAGACACGGCCCAGACUCCUACGGGAGGCAGCAGUGGGGAAUAUUGCGCAAUGGGCGAAAGCCUGACGCAGCGACGCCGCGUGGGGAGU
rnacentral:rRNA from 1 species